UACGUAGGCAGCAAGCGUUGUUCGGAGUUACUGGGCGUAAAGGGUGCGUAGGCGGUCCUAUAAGUAUGGUGUGAAAUCUCCCGGCUUAACUGGGAGGGUGCGCUAUAGACUGUGGGACUUAGAGUGUGGGAGAGGAAAGUGGAAUUCCUGGUGUAGCGGUGAAAUGCGUAGAUAUCAGGAGGAACAGCCGGUGGUGUAAACGGCUU
rnacentral:rRNA from 1 species